CAGCUCAGGACGAACGCUGGCGGCGUGCUUAACACAUGCAAGUCGAACGAUGAUGCCCAGCUUGCUGGGUGGAUUAGUGGCGAACGGGUGAGUAACACGUGAGUAACCUGCCCCUGACUCUGGGAUAAGCGUUGGAAACGACGUCUAAUACUGGAUAUGACUGCCGGCCGCAUGGUCUGGUGGUGGAAAGAUUUUUUGGUUGGGGAUGGACUCGCGGCCUAUCAGCUUGUUGGUGAGGUAAUGGCUCACCAAGGCGACGACGGGUAGCCGGCCUGAGAGGGUGACCGGCCACACUGGGACUGAGACACGGCCCAGACUCCUACGGGAGGCAGCAGUGGGGAAUAUUGCACAAUGGGCGAAAGCCUGAUGCAGCAACGCCGCGUGAGGGAUGACGGCCUUCGGGUUGUAAACCUCUUUUAGUAGGGAAGAAGCGUAAGUGACGGUACCUGCAGAAAAAGCACCGGCUAACUACGUGCCAGCAGCCGCGGUAAUACGUAGGGUGCAAGCGUUGUCCGGAAUUAUUGGGCGUAAAGAGCUCGUAGGCGGUUUGUCGCGUCUGCUGUGAAAUCCCGAGGCUCAACCUCGGGCUUGCAGUGGGUACGGGCAGACUAGAGUGCGGUAGGGGAGAUUGGAAUUCCUGGUGUAGCGGUGGAAUGCGCAGAUAUCAGGAGGAACACCGAUGGCGAAGGCAGAUCUCUGGGCCGUAACUGACGCUGAGGAGCGAAAGCGUGGGGAGCGAACAGGAUUAGAUACCCUGGUAGUCCACGCCGUAAACGUUGGGCGCUAGAUGUAGGGACCUUUCCACGGUUUCUGUGUCGUAGCUAACGCAUUAAGCGCCCCGCCUGGGGAGUACGGCCGCAAGGCUAAAACUCAAAGGAAUUGACGGGGGCCCGCACAAGCGGCGGAGCAUGCGGAUUAAUUCGAUGCAACGCGAAGAACCUUACCAAGGCUUGACAUACACCGGAAACGGCCAGAGAUGGUUGCCCCCUUGUGGUCGGUGUACAGGUGGUGCAUGGUUGUCGUCAGCUCGUGUCGUGAGAUGUUGGGUUAAGUCCCGCAACGAGCGCAACCCUCGUUCUAUGUUGCCAGCGCGUUAUGGCGGGGACUCAUAGGAGACUGCCGGGGUCAACUCGGAGGAAGGUGGGGAUGACGUCAAAUCAUCAUGCCCCUUAUGUCUUGGGCUUCACGCAUGCUACAAUGGCCGGUACAAAGGGCUGCGAUACCGUAAGGUGGAGCGAAUCCCAAAAAGCCGGUCUCAGUUCGGAUUGAGGUCUG
rnacentral:rRNA from 1 species